rnacentral:rRNA from 1 species
GACGAACGCCGGCGGCGUGCCUAACACAUGCAAGUCGAACGGGGUAUUUCUUCGGAGAUAAUUAGUGGCGAACGGGUGAGUAACGCGUGAGAAACUUGCCUUUCAGUGGGGGACAACAGUUGGAAACGACUGCUAAUACCGCAUAAUGUUAUUUGGGGGCAUCCCUGAAUGACCAAAGAUUUAUUGCUGAAAGAUGGUGUCGCGUCUGAUUAGCUAGUUGGUGAGGUAACGGGUCACCAAGGCGACGAUCAGUAGCCGGUCUGAGAGGUUGAACGGCCACAUUGGGACUGAGAUACGGCCCAUACUCCUACGGGGGGCAGCAGUGGGGAAUAUUGGGCAAUGGGGGAAACCCUGACCCAGCAACGCCGCGUGAAGGAAGAAGGCCUUCGGGUUGUAAACUUCUUUUACCAGGGACGAACACAAUGACGGUACCUGGAGAAAAAGCAACGGCUAACUACGUGCCAGCAGCCGCGGUAAGAC